rnacentral:rRNA from 1 species
GAUGAACGCUAGCGGCAGGCUUAACACAUGCAAGUCGAGGGGCAGCAUAAAUAGUAGCAAUACUAUUGGUGGCGACCGGCGGACGGGUGCGUAACGCGUAUACAACCUUCCCUAAACAGGGGGAUCAUCUGGAGAAAUUCGGUCUAAUACUCCCUAACAUCAGAGCAGGCAUCUGUUUUGGUUAACAUUUCUGGAGGUUUAGGAUGGUUAUGCGUAGCAUUAGCUAGUUGGUGAGGUAACUGCUCACCAAGGCGACGAUGCUUAGGGGGACUGAGAGGUUAACCCCCCACACUGGUACUGAGACACGGACCAGACUCCUACGGGAGGCAGCAGUGAGGAAUAUUGGUCAAUGGGCGGAAGCCUGAACCAGCCAUGCCGCGUGCAGGAUGACGGCUCUAUGAGUUGUAACUGCUUUUGUACGAGGGUAAAGUGGGCUACGUGUAGCCUUUUGAAAGUAUCGUACGAAUAAGGAUCGGCUAACUCCGUGCCAGCCGCCGCGGUAA